CUUUUGGAAGAAGUCGUCGAAGGUGGAAUCAAUAACUGGGGUGAAGUCGUAACAAGGUAGCCGUAUCGGAAGGUGCGGCUGGAUCACCUCCUUUCUAAGGAGAAUUGCCUACUGUUUAAUUUUGAAAGUUCUUUACGAACUUUAUAUAUGGGGGUGUAGCUCAGUUGGGAGAGCACUUGCCUUGCAAGCAAGGGGUCAGGAGUUCGACUCUCCUCAUCUCCACCAUUUAAGAGUAUAUUACUUAAAUCUUUGAUUUACUUAGUAGCCUCUUACAAUGCACUUAUAGCUUAAAUUUAUACAAGCUUUGUGUGUUAGCACUUUAAGCAACGGAAUAAACUGAACGCAUGUGAAGUUUGUUUGUUGGCGCUGUGCGUUAGCACUUUAAGUAACGGAAUAAUCUGAGUGAAUACGAAGGUUGUUCGUUGACGUGGUGNAAGGAAUUGACGGGGACCCGCACAAGUAGCGGAGCAUGUGGUUUAAUUCGAAGCAACGCGAAGAACCUUACCUAAGCUUGACAUCCCAAUGACAUCUCCUUAAUCGGAGAGUUCCCUUCGGGGACAUUGGUGACAGGUGGUGCAUGGUUGUCGUCAGCUCGUGUCGUGAGAUGUUGGGUUAAGUCCCGCAACGAGCGCAACCCUUGUCUUUAGUUGCCAUCAUUAAGUUGGGCACUCUAGAGAGACUGCCAGGGAUAACCUGGAGGAAGGUGGGGAUGACGUCAAAUCAUCAUGCCCCUUAUGCUUAGGGCUACACACGUGCUACAAUGGGUAGUACAGAGGGUUGCCAAGCCGUAAGGUGGAGCUAAUCCCUUAAAGCUACUCUCAGUUCGGAUUGUAGGCUGAAACUCGCCUACAUGAAGCUGGAGUUACUAGUAAUCGCAGAUCAGAAUGCUGCGGUGAAUGCGUUCCCGGGUCUUGUACACACCGCCCGUCACACCACGGGAGUUGGAGACGCCCGAAGCCGAUUAUCUAACCUUUUGGAAGAAGUCGUCGAAGGUGGAAUCAAUAACUGGGGUGAAGUCGUAACAAGGUAGCCGUAUCGGAAGGUGCGGCUG
rnacentral:tRNA from 1 species